rnacentral:rRNA from 1 species
UACGUAGGUGGCAAGCGUUGUCCGGAUUUAUUGGGUUUAAAGGGUGCGUAGGCGGUCUAUUAAGUCAGCGGUGAAAUACUCCAGCUUAACUGGAGGGGUGCCAUUGAUACUGAUGGACUUGAGUCAAGUCGAGGUAGGCGGAAUUGACGGUGUAGCGGUGAAAUGCUUAGAUAUCGUCCAGAACACCGAUAGCGAAGGCAGCUUACUAAGGAGUAACUGACGCUGAGGCACGAAAGUGUGGGGAUCAAACAGG